UUGACUUCCUCCCAUGAAUCAUGAAUUUUCUUAAAGGCAUCAAGAAUGGGGAAUCCUUUCCAGAAGAUUUUCAAUUUGCUGUGCCCAGAUCCAACAGAAGAAUCACUAUCUAUGACAGCUAUAGCCUUACAAGAUGUAUUUCUUAAAUAAUAAUGCUUUAAAGUCAAAGUAACUCCUUGAACCAUGGACUGCAGAAUGAAUGUUGUGUUAGCAGGCAUGAAAACAAUAUUAAUCUCUUUGAACAUCUCCAUCGAACCUCUUGGGUGACCAGGUGCAUUGCCAAUAAGCAGUAAUAUUUUGAGAGGAAUCUUCAUUUCUGGGCAUCGAGUCCCAAUAGUGGGCUUAAAAUACUCAGCAAACCAUGCUAACCUGUUGUCUGCCAUGACCAGGAGCUCCAUUCUCACACCUCUCUUUCUGGCCUCGCUCAUCUCAGCCCAUGAUCUCUUUUACUUCUUGGGGAGAUGAAACCUUAAAGAAAGCCAUGCUGAUUAUCUAUUUCCCUUUUCUCCAGAAUGUAAGCCCACUGAAAAAUAGACACAAGGCAACAUAAAACAGAUUAAGACCGAAGUCCAGCCAGAAUGAAGGUCUUGAGGUAGGAAAGAACAUGGCCAAGUUCACACAACUGGAAGAAAGUCAGUGAGGCUGGAGCAAACAAAGGAAGCAGAGAGUUACAAGACAGACAGUUGUCUCCUGGCCUGUUAAAUGUGUCCAUGACUACACAGAAAUUCCUGCCUAUUGCCUGCUUUCCUGAUGGAGAAGUUCAUGAUCUGCAAUAAUCAUCAGUGAACUGCAGCCUUUAUGCCAA
rnacentral:lncRNA from 1 species